AUUGAACGCUGGCGGCAGGCCUAACACAUGCAAGUCGAACGAGUGGCGGACGGGUGAGUAAUGUCUGGGAAACUGCCCGAUGGAGGGGGAUAACUACUGGAAACGGUAGCUAAUACCGCAUACCAUCGGAUGUUCCCAGAUGGGAUUAGCUUGUAGGUGAGGUAACGGCUCACCUAGGGGACGAUCCCUAGCUGGUCUGAGAGGAUGACCCGCCACACUGGAACUGAGACACGUUCCAGAGUCGUACGGGAGGCAGCAGGGGGGAAUAUGGCACAAGGGGGGCAAGCCUGAUGCAGCCAUGCCGCGUGUAUGAAGAAGGCCUUCGGGUUGUAAAGUACUUGCAGCGGGGAGGCGUUACACGCAGAAGAAGCACCGGCUAACUCCGUGCCAGCAGCCGCGGUAAUAC
rnacentral:rRNA from 1 species